rnacentral:tRNA from 1 species
GCUGUGGUGGUGGAAUUUGGUAGACACGCUAGCUUGAGGGGCUAGUGGGGGUUUCCUCGUGGAGGUUCAAGUCCUCUCCACAGCA